AAAACUUUCAACAACGGAUCUCUUGGUUCCGGCAUCGAUGAAGAACGCAGCGAAAUGCGAUAAGUAAUGUGAAUUGCAGAAUUCCGUGAAUCAUCGAAUCUUUGAACGCACAUUGCGCCCCCUGGUAUUCCGGGGGGCAUGCCUGUUCGAGCGUCAUUU
rnacentral:rRNA from 1 species